AUUGCACGCUGGCGGCAGGCUUAACACAUGCAAGUCGAACGAGUGGCGGACGGGUGCGUAAUGCUUGGGAAUCUGGCUUCUGGAGGGGGAUAACGACGGGAAACUGUCGCUAAUACCGCGUACCAUAGGCUGAGCCCAAGUGGGAUUAGGUAGUUGGUGGGGUAAGGGCCUACCAAGCCGGCGAUCUCUAGCUGGUCUGAGAGGAUGACCCGCCACACCGGAACUGGGACACGGCCCGGACGCCGACGGGGGGCAGCAGGGGGGAAUAUUGCGUAAGGGGUGCAACCUGACGCAGCCAGUCCGCGUGAAUGAAGAAGGCCGUCGGGUUGUGAAGGUCUUGCGAUGAAGAGGCGUUAAUCACGGAGGAAGCACGGGGUAACUCCGUGCCAGCAGCCGCGGUAAUAC
rnacentral:rRNA from 1 species